AGCAUUAUACCGUGAAACUGCGAAUGGCUCAUUAAAUCAGUUAUCGUUUAUUUGAUAAUACCUUACUACUUGGAUAACCGUGGUAAUUCUAGAGCUAAUACAUGCUGAAAAUCCCGACUUCGGAAGGGAUGUGUUUAUUAGAUAAAAAACCAAUGCCCUUCGGGGCUUUUUGGUGAUUCAUGAUAACUUAACGGAUCGCAUAGCCUUGCGCUGGCGACGGUUCAUUCAAAUUUCUGCCCUAUCAACUUUCGAUGGUAAGGUAUUGGCUUACCAUGGUUUCAACGGGUAACGGGGAAUUAGGGUUCGAUUCCGGAGAGGGAGCCUGAGAAACGGCUACCACAUCCAAGGAAGGCAGCAGGCGCGCAAAUUACCCAAUCCCGACACGGGGAGGUAGUGACAAUAAAUACUGAUAUAGGGCUCUUUUGGGUCUUGUAAUUGGAAUGAGUACAAUUUAAACCUCUUAACGAGGAACAAUUGGAGGGCAAGUCUGGUGCCAGCAGCCGCGGUAAUUCCAGCUCCAAUAGCGUAUAUNAAAGUUGUUGCAGUUAAAAAGCUCGUAGUUGAAACUUGGGUCUGGCUGGCGGGUCCGCCUCACCGCGUGCACUCGUCCGGCCGGGCCUUCCUUCUGAAGAACCUCAUGCCCUUCACUGGGCGUGUUGGGGAAUCAGGACUUUUACUUUGAAAAAAUUAGAGUGUUCAAAGCAGGCCUUUGCUCGAAUACGUUAGCAUGGAAUAAUAAAAUAGGGCGUGCGUUUCUAUUUUGUUGGUUUCUAGAAGCGCCGCAAUGAUUAACAGGAACAGUCGGGGGCAUCAGUAUUCAGUUGUCAGAGGUGAAAUUCUUGGAUUUACUGAAGACUAACUACUGCGAAAGCAUUUGCCAAGGAUGUUUUCAUUAAUCAGUGAACGAAAGUUAGGGGAUCGAAGACGAUCAGAUACCGUCGUAGUCUUAACCGUAAACUAUGCCGACUAGGGAUCGGGCGAUGUUCUUUUUCUGACUCGCUCGGCACCUUACGAGAAAUCAAAGUUUUUGGGUUCUGGGGGGGAUUAUGGUCGCAAGGCUGAAACUUAAAGAAAUUGACGGAAGGUCACCACCAGGCGUGGAGCCUGCGGCUUAAUUUGACUCAACACGGGGAAACUCACCAGGUCCAGACGAAAUAAGGAUUGACAGAUUGAGAGCUCUUUCUUGAUUUUUCGGGUGGUGGUGCAUGGCCGUUCUUAGUUCGUGGGGUGACUUGUCUGCUUAAUUGCGAUAACGAGCGAGACCUUACUCUGCUAAAUAGCCAGGCUAGCUUUGGCUGGUCGCCGGCUUCUUAGAGAGACUAUCAACUCAAGUUGAUGGAAGUUUGAGGCAAUAACAGGUCUGUGAUGCCCUUAGAUGUUCUGGGCCGCACGCGCGCUACACUGACAGAGCCAACGAGUUCUUCACCUUGGCCGAAAGGUCUGGGUAAUCUUGUUAAACUCUGUCGUGCUGGGGAUAAAGCAUUGCAAUUAUUGCUUUUCAACGAGGAAUGCCUAGUAAGCGCGUGUCAUCAGCAUGCGUUGAUUACGUCCCUGACCUUUGUACACACCGCCCGUCGCUACUACCGAUUGAAUGGCUCAGUGAGGCGUUCGGACUGGCUCGGGGAGGUUGGCAACGACCACCCCAAGCCGGAAAGUUCGUCAAACUCGGUCAUUUAGAGGAAGUAAAAGUCGUAACAAGGUCUCCGUAGGUGAACCUGCGGAGGGAUCAUUACACAAUAUGCAAGCGGGCUGGGAUCCCCGGGAGGGCGUCUAUUCUGCCGUUUCCGCCGCAUCUGCGGUGCUGAAGCGACAGGGCGGGCGUCUUUUCGGCCAGCCUGACUCCAUAUUCACCCAUGUCUUUUGCGUACUACUUGUUUCCUUGGUGGGUUCGCCCACCAACAGGACCAUUUAAACCUUUUUGUAAUUGCAAUCAGCGUCAGCAAAACAAUGUAAUAAAUUACAACUUUCAACAACGGAUCUCUUGGUUCUGGCAUCGAUGAAGAACGCAGCGAAAUGCGAUAAGUAGUGUGAAUUGCAGAAUUCAGUGAAUCAUCGAAUCUUUGAACGCACAUUGCGCCCUUUGGUAUUCCAAAGGGCAUGCCUGUUCGAGCGUCAUUUGUACCCUCAAGCUUUGCUUGGUGUUGGGCGUUUUUGUCUCUGGUCCGCCAGCGACUCGCCUUAAAAUCAUUGGCAGCCGGCCUACUGGUUUCGGAGCGCAGCACAAAUUUGCGCUUCUUCCAGCAGCGGUCCGCGUCCAUGAAGCCACUUUCAA
rnacentral:rRNA from 1 species